GUGAGGAAUAUUGGUCAAUGGGCGGGAGCCUGAACCAGCCAAGUCGCGUGAAGGAAGAAGGAUCUAUGGUUCGUAAACUUCUUUUGCAGGGGAAUAAAGUGCAGGACGUGUCCUGUUUUGUAUGUACCCUGAGAAUAAGGAUCGGCUAACUCCGUGCCAGCAUCCGCGGUAAUACGGAGGAUCCGAGCGUUAUCCGGAUUUAUUGGGUUUAAAGGGUGCGUAGGUGGUUUGAUAAGUCAGCGGUGAAAGUUUGCAGCUUAACUGUAAAAAUGCCGUUGAAGCUGUCGGACUUGAGUGUAAAUGAGGUAGGCGGAAUGCGUGGUGUAGCGGUGAAAUGCAUAGAUAUCACGCAGAACUCCGAUUGCGAAGGCAGCUUACUAAGCUACAACUGACACUGAAGCACGAAAGCGUGGGGAUCAAACAGGAUUAGAAACCCUUGUAGUCC
rnacentral:rRNA from 1 species